GUAGGUGAACCUGCGGAAGGAUCAUUGUCGAUACCUGCCCAGCAGAGAGACCCGUGAACAUGUUGCAUUGCUAUCGGGGGCGGGGUGUGGGGGUGUGAACCCCUUCCUCCUCGAUCCCCCCUUGUGGCCGGUAGGUCCCCGUGGCCUCCGGCCUAAAACAACAAUCGGCGCGGUUUGCGCCAAGGAACUCAACAACGGAACAGACGUGUUGCCGCCGUGCCUUUGGCGUGGUGUGUGCCGUCUUCAAUCCGAAUCUUACGAACGACUCUCGGCAACGGAUAUCUCGGCUCUCGCAUCGAUGAAGAACGUAGCGAAAUGCGAUACUUGGUGUGAAUUGCAGAAUCCCGUGAACCAUCGAGUCUUUGAACGCAAGUUGCGCCCUAGGCCAUCGGGCCGAGGGCACGUCUGCCUGGGCGUCACGCACAUCGUCGCCCGCCCUCCAUCGCCCUUGUGGUGGUUGAGUACGAGCGGAGAUUGGCCCCCCGUGCCCCUUCUGUGGUGCGGUCGGCCCAAAGGAAAGCCCCAUGUGUGGCGAGCGUCACGACGAGUGGUGGUCGAAGCCACUUUUGCCACAUCUCGGACGUCGUGUGCGGUUCGUCUCCCUCGGGCUCCAGGGACCCUGAUCAUGCGUCGUCUGACGACGGCGCUCCGACUGCGACCCCAGGUCAGGCGGGGCUACCCGCUGAG
rnacentral:rRNA from 1 species